rnacentral:rRNA from 1 species
UACGCCGGGUGCAAACGUUGCUCGGAAUCAUUGGGCGUAAAGCGCACGUAGGCGGCUUGCCAAGUCGGACGUGAAAUCCCUCAGCUCAACUGAGGACGUGCAUCCGAAACUGGCGAGCUUGAGUACUGAAGAGGAUCGCGGAAUUCCCGGUGUAGAGGUGAAAUUCGUAGAUAUCGGGAGGAACACCAGUGGCGAAGGCGGCGAUCUGGGCAGAUACUGACGCUGAGGUGCGAAAGCGUGGGGAGCAAACAGG